GACAUUUACUAUAAACCAAAGAUGAGUUACUGUUCACUCAGGCCUGAAAUGAAGUGACGCUUUUGCCCUUGCUUUUUCCUUCAUUACAAUUUGCCAUUCUUCUAUAACGUUCUUAUCCCUUGCCACCUGUAGGUUUACUGAGCCUUCACCUGCACUCUAUUGACACAGACACAGGGAGAGCGACGAGGGCCUCAUCUUUUGCGUUUUGGUUAUUUGCUCGACACAGAGAGAGAUGGAGCGAAGUAAACAGAGGAAGAAAGGAGAGAAGAAGAGGCCAUCCCUUCAAAAUGUCCAUCGCUAGGUGGAGUUUGCCAUUGGAGGCUUAAUCGUGGACACCAAGGUGUUCUAUUGGCCAAGAAAGGUCUUUUACUAUGGAUUUCCGUGUGCUUAGCUUUGCUGAUUGAAGAAGAUGAAUGGAAAAAUGAGCUCUUCUUCAGCAUCAGAAGAUGCUGCUGCUCAGGAGCUGAUGUGUGCCUGGAGUGCUGGCCGCUUAUGACAAUUGCUUUGAGAUGACUUUGGUUUCAAUGACAUUCUUUGGGUAUACAGUGGCUGACAUGGUGUUCACUAUUGGGUUUGUGAUGAGAAAGCUGGAAGGAACACAAUGUAGAGAGUUAGAGAAUUAGUUCAGCGGGGGAUUUUCAGAUUGUGAGCACAUGCAGAGGACGUUAGCCAAGGAAUUUCAACACAUGAAGUCUAAGUAUGCAAAGGUUUAGAGAAUUAAUUACUAUAGCUUUGGUGAUUGUUAUCUCCCUCUCUUAUGAAUGUUGGAUUCUGUUAGUUAUGUCAUCAAUAUAUUGAACUUCACAACUUAUUGUUCUCCCCCCCCUCUGAUUUUGGUUCUCUGCUAAUUUUUAGAUCGGAGUUUUUGGUACUUGACAUUUUUUUAUUA